rnacentral:rRNA from 1 species
GAUGAACGCUGGCGGCGUGCCUAAUACAUGCAAGUCGAGCGAAGCGGGGACGGGUGAGUAACACGUGGAUAACCUCCUAUAAGACUGGGAUAACUUCAGGAGACCUGAGCUCGACCGGAUACUUAUACGUGGAUCCGCGCUGCAUUGGCGAGUUGGUAAGGUAACGGCUUACCAAGGCAACGAUGCAUAGCCGACCUGAGAGGGUGAUCGGCCACACUGGAACUGAGACACGGUCCAGACUCCUACGGGAGGCAGCAGUAGGGAAUCUUCCACAAUGGGCGAAAGCCUGACGGAGCCAUGCCGCGUGAGUGAAGAAGGUCUUCGGAUCGUAAAACUCUGUUAUUAGGGAAGCGGUACCUACACAGAAAGCACCGGCUAACUACGUGCCAGCAGCCGCGGUAAUAC